rnacentral:rRNA from 1 species
GACGAACGCUGGCGGCGUGCUUAACACAUGCAAGUCGAACGGAAAGGCCCUGCUUUUGUGGGGUGCUCGAGUGGCGAACGGGUGAGUAACACGUGAGUAACCUGCCCUUGACUUUGGGAUAACUUCAGGAAACUGGGGCUAAUACCGGAUAGGAGCUCCUGCUGCAUGGUGGGGGUUGGAAAGUUUCGGCGGUUGGGGAUGGACUCGCGGCUUAUCAGCUUGUUGGUGGGGUAGUGGCUUACCAAGGCUUUGACGGGUAGCCGGCCUGAGAGGGUGACCGGCCACAUUGGGACUGAGAUACGGCCCAGACUCCUACGGGAGGCAGCAGUGGGGAAUAUUGCACAGUGGGCGGAAGCCUGAUGCAGCAACGCCGCGUGCGGGAUGACGGCCUUCGGGUUGUAAACCGCUUUCGACUGUGACGAAGCGUGAGUGACGGUAAUGGGUAAAGAAGCACCGGCUAACUACGUG